rnacentral:rRNA from 1 species
UACGAAGGGGGCUAGCGUUGUUCGGAAUUACUGGGCGUAAAGCGCGCGUAGGCGGACCUUUAAGUCAGAGGUGAAAUGCCGGAGCUCAACUCCGGAACUGCCUUUGAAACUGGGGGUCUUGAGGUAUGGAGAGGGAAGUGGAAUUCCUGGUGUAGCGGUGAAAUGCGUAGAUAUCAGGAGGAACACCCGUGGCGAAGGCGGCUUCCUGGCCAUAUCCUGACGCUGAGGUGCGAAAGCUAGGGGAGCGAACGGG